UCGGUCUCCAGAUAGUUCCUUACGUUCGCGAUAGGUGUCGGGGCGGUUUACUCUACUCGACUGGACCACAGAGGACUGGAUGGGCAAUGCCUGUUUUUUUUUUGUACAUACAUGUUUUCUAAAUAAAUAAAAAAAACACAUACACGUUACUUGGGGGAAGGGGGUGUAGUGUAUCGGAAGAAGUGAGCCAGAUUCGUUCGAGCACUGAACCCGAAAAAUCGUGAAAAGAAACACAUUCUGAGGUCAAAAUUACAUAUUAAUGUAAAACAGCCCUAAUUUUAACACAUUAUCAUGCAACUUACAGAUAUCAGGAAUUCUUGUGGACCACUACAUUAACGUUGGCAAAAGUGCUUGGCUCCGUCCAGUCCCUCUGUCAGGGAACAACACAGUCAAGUAUUACUGAACAGGAAGAGUGAAAUGGGUCAGUGCUGCCUUUCAUGGAGUUGCAAGUUCUGAACGUUCAGGCACCCUGGUUGUGUCACAAAGUCUUCUCUUAACAUUGCAAGUGGAGGCGGGGUCGAAUACCUCCACCGUGACCCUGCGGGUCAUAGGGAGCGACGGAAAGGGAACCCAGUGCCUGGUGUCAUAACCGGGCCCCUGUGAUCUUAGCGGAUAUAUACGAGGACCUGGCCCUCCAGGUUUGGGGAGUCUCGAGUCUG